rnacentral:lncRNA from 1 species
CACCAGACCUGUCUCUUCAUGACUACUUUGCUCCGUUCUGUCUAUAAUAGUCACAGUUUUGUAACAGAACAUAAAAACAGGUUUACAGACUACCAGAAGACUUUGAAGUUUGCUUAUAAGAUCGGAGAUGGAACCUCUCCCUGAGGAAAGCACCCUGGCUCGCAUUGGCGAGACCCUAUGGACAGCUUGGAGCUACAUUACCACAGCUGUGGGCAGAUUUCUGCGACCAGUGGCCACAGAGGAUAAAAAUGAGCCUUCAGCACAGGAAGACACGAUCACCAGUGUGACAACCAGUCAAAGAAGAAAUGAUGAGGAAGCAGAACAUGAAGACCUGCAUGAGCAUGACCAAAGGUCCCAUUCCACAGGCCCUGUGGAGAGAUGUGAAAUAAUCAGGGAUUACAACCAAAAGAGUAGGGGUUAUUCCAUUCGCUACUCUAGAAUAGUGGAGAGCUGCUCUCAAGAUGCGACAGCUGUUGGUGAGACUUUUUCACAGGUAGACGAUGAAAAGAAUGAAGAAAAGCAUGGCGUUACCAGUAAAGAUGAAGACAGUGUAAUGGAAGAGUGCUGUGAAAUUCAGAGCAGUGAAACUGCUCAAAUGCCCCACACACAGGAGAGAGUUGUUAUAGAUAAGCAGCUUGGAGGACAAAAACCGGUUGAUGGUGACAAAAUGGUUAGCCUCCUUCCAAAUGUUCCAGAAGAAACUAGAUCAGAAGAAUGCAAUGAAGACAAAGAGUUUCAAUUAGACACAGAUGAAUGGGAAACAGUAAAAACUCAAACAAAGAGAGAGUACGUGGCAAUAGAGGAAAUUAAUCUAAACUUUAAGCAGGAAAAAGAGCAAGAGGACAAACAUGAAGCCCCUGCAAAUGAUACAGGAGGCGGUAAAGCUGGCGAAACACAGCCCUAUGAAAACAGUCACCAACCAACCACAGAAGAGGUUGAAAAUUCACAGCAUUUUCAGACGAUGGAGGGAGAAGACAAUCUGGCCACCGGUGAUCAGUGUGUGGGAAUAGACACCAUGGAGCCAGACCUCAAGUCUGAGAGAAUGGAUCCCACAUUAACAUACACAACACGGGAGGGGCAUAAAAACCAUGAGGAACUCCAGCAGAAUGAGGUUUCAUCUAGAACACAUUUAAUACAGAUAUCAACAGAUGAGAGAUUUUAUGGAGCAAAAUCAGACAUCGUAGAACAAGCCCUUGAGAAACAUGUGUGUGGAACUUUCAUUGCAUUUGAUGGCAAGGACAACAUACCACACUUUUCAGAUGAUAAAAAUAAAUUCUUCAAGGAUUCCAACGCAAUUGUCAAUUCAUUAGAAGAUUUGGAGACUAACAAAGGAGAAACCAGAGAUGAAAUACAUGUUGAGACAGAGCCCAAGACAACAGAUCCCUCACUGCUUCUGUCUUUCUCAGAAUCUACCAAUGAAGAUCUCAGUAAACAAGACUCUAAAGAACAAGAAAACAAGCUCCUUUUUGAGUCUCCGAUUAGGAAAGAUUUACCAGAGAACCUCAUUUUGGAGUCUGAAACUUACUCGGCAAAACUUGAGGCAAGUGGGUCAUUUAAAGCAAAUUACAAGGCAUCAGAACUAUCAAAGCUUGAUGACCACCUAAUUAAGCAAAGACAAGAGGAGUCAUCAGAAACCAAAACUGAGUGCCAGGAAGCAGACGCUAUCCUGAAAGAUGAAGGUGUGGAGAUAAACAAUAAGGGGUCCAUAGAACCUGACAGAAAAGACCAUGACACAGCACACUCUUCGCUUGAAAACAAAGAACUGUUUAAAGAAUCCAUGAGAAUAGAAACGAUGUCAGAGAUGGUGAAUGCAACGUCUGAAAUGACCUUUAAAGGGGAAUCAGAGGAUGGACUUCAUGAAGAACAAAAGAAAUCAGGAUACAAAGCAGGGCUUUUGGAAUCAGAACCAGUACUGAGUGAGGAACAGACUCAAGACCAGUCAUCACCGGCCAAAAUGGACAGCGUGGCAUCACAAGCAGGACUGCAGGAGAGUGCUGAUGAGGACAUGGAAGUAGACACCCCAUGGCCGAGUCUGACGGCUGAGGGAAAGGAUAUACCUGAUGAACCUUCUGAGGAAGCCAUGAACGUUCCUUUAUCAGACAUUAUUAUUCCAGACCAAGAGCGAAUAUCAUCACCUGAAUUGCCAGAAAUGGAACUGGCACUGUUAGAAAAGAAGGCAUAUGAGGAAAUUCAGGAGGUGUCGGAUUCGUCACUGAAGGAAACUGGUUACGACAUUGAUGUAAACAGGGAAAUAAAGACAUUUGUGAAAUCUGAUAGAACAGAUUGUAAAGUGCCAGAAUCUGCAUAUGAAGAAGAUGAAUAUUUCUCUGAGAAAAUUAUUUUACAGUCUGAAACAAACCUUAAUCUUGAAAUAUACCUGAAAAUGACAGAGGCAUUGGAAGAAGAUACAAUCUUGGAAGAAAAUGGAAAUAAAAAUACGGAAACAGACACCACAGGACAGAAGUGUUCCCCAAAACCGGAGAUAAAAGACAUAAUACACUCUACAGAAUUUGAAAAAUCAUCACAUGAAGCAGAACCCCAAGAAACAGAACCAGCACUAUUGGAGGAGCAUGCAGAUGAAGGACUUCAGGAGGGGUCAUCACCAGCCAAAACCGAGACUAUGGAGAGAGCAUUCCUGAAAGAGGAUUCUGACAAAGAAUCUGAUGAGGAAACAAUGGAGCUGAAUGCUGAGUUAGGAAAGGAAGAUCACUCACUGAUGGAAUCACUGGUGACUGAAGGUAUGAUAGAGAAUUUGAGGAAGUUGGAGGAAGAGGCUCAAAUAUCCACUAAAGUAGAAACUAAUGAAGAGUACAUUACAUCUAUAAACAGGAUGGAUGUAUUAAACUAUGAAACUAGAAUAACACAGGAAAUGGAAGAUCCUAGAUCUAUGACGGAUGUAAUCCGUGAAAACUCGAAAAAAUCUUCAGGAGAGUUUGGGCUCUCUGAGGAAGACACUAUGCACUCAACAAAUAUUGCCCAAUCACUGAAUGAAACAAUGGGAUCAACAACUGCCAUGAUCAAAGAAAUGACAGAGACUGUACCAACCAGGGAAAGUGUGGAUCUUCCUUUCUUUGAAUCCUCAGAUGUACAAGAGGAUACAGCAAAACCACAGCAAGAUGUGAAAGACAUGGAGACUGAACAGACAACAGUUUCUGCGACAAUAAUGGAAGUUCAGGAGGAGCCAGGUAUGACGGAAAGUCACACUAAACCAGAUGAGGAAACAGGAUCUGAAAUAGGUUUAGAGAACAUAACAGCAGAACAAGAUACCAUGGACCUACAAACAUAUUUGGGAGUAAAGACAGCACAAGAAAAAAAGAAAGUAGAUGACCUGACAGAUGGAGCAGAGACCUUAAAUGCUGGAAAGGGAUCAGCAAUAAAAAGAAGAUUAGAACAUGCUGAGGUAGACAUAGAACUGGAUGAUCCAGAAUCUCAGUUGAACAAAGAGCAUGAAGACUUAAAACUACAGGUUGAAGCCUCCACAUUGGACUUCACUUUCCAAAGAUCUCGAAUUGCUGUAAAAAAUCCUAACGUACGUCCUCCGAAAGACCCACGGACACUCCUGAAAAUACCCUCCCUGCUGCCGUCCCCUAAAGCAGAAGAGAGGGAGGAGCCUCCAUCGUGUAGCCCAGAGAAAAAAGACCAAGGGCCUGGAGUUGUGGUGAGAGGAGUCAAGGUUGUAGGGUUUCAGUUACCCGGGCUUGGUGGUGGAUUGCCUGUGCUGAGGAAGACAAACGUUGCUCCAAGGGUUAAAGAGGAAGACAAUUCCGAGACCCCCGACAGACAGGAGAAUUGUGAACAGUCAGAGGAGACCCCCAAACCAGCCCAGACACAGAGCAAACCCAAGUGGACACCUCCGCGGCAUCCUGGGCUGGGAAGCCCAAUGAUGAUGGCAGAACUGAAGAAUAAACUGAGGACGACUCCGAAGGAAUAAUCAAGCUUCUUACGAGGACAAAUGUUUUACAUAGCAGCCCACAAGAUGCAGUCGCACCAGGGUUUAGCAUGCUUGCUCGGGGAUUGAUGGAGCCUUACAUGCACAUCAGUAACAUUUGUCGUGUGACAGCAUGUCUCAGAUGCGAAGGGAUGUGUUUUCUUUAUUUUCAUGACCAUUUACAUUUGUAGGUUCUCACUGAAGGCAUCAAAACUAUGAAUGAACACAUGUGGAGUUAUGUACUUAACAAAAAAAAGGUGAAAUAAUUAAUGUUUUAUAUUCUAGUUUCUUCAAAAUAGCCACCCUCUGAUUACUGAUUUGAACACUCUUGGCAUUCUCUCAAUGAGCUUCAAGAGGUCGUCACCUGAAAUGCUUUCCCAACAGUUUUGAAGGAGUUCCCAGAGGUGUUUUGCACUUGUUGGUCCCUUUGCCUUCACUCUGCGGUCCAGCUCACACCAAACCAUCUCGAUUGGGUUCAGGUCCGGUGACUGUGGAGGCCAGGUCUCCACUUUUUGUUAAGUACAUAACUCCACAUGAGUUCAUUCAUAGUUUUGAUGCCUUCAGUGAGAAUCUACCAAUGUAAAUAGCCAUGAAAAUAAAGAAAACACAUUGAAUGAGAAGGUGUGUCCA